UACGUAGGGUCCAAGCGUUAAUCGGAAUUACUGGGCGUAAAGCGUGUGUAGGCGGUUUCGAAAGUCCGAUGUGAAAUCCCCGAGCUUAACUUGGGAACUGCGUUGGAAACUACGAGGCUAGAGUGCGGCAGAGGGGGGUGGAAUUCCAGGUGUAGCAGUGAAAUGCGUAGAGAUCUGGAGGAACACCGAUGGCGAAGGCAGCCCCCUGGGUUAGCACUGACGCUGAUACACGAAAGCGUGGGGAGCAAACAGG
rnacentral:rRNA from 1 species